rnacentral:lncRNA from 1 species
CUGAGAUGAGAGGAGGAAAAGAGGCUAACACCCAGAGAUGUGGAGGGCUGAAAUGGGCUUUCCGGAUAGGGAAGCGACAGAGAGGGGAGGAGGAAGUGCAAAGAUGAGGGGCUGGGCCGGGAGGAGGAUGAGCGCGCCGCACAGGGGAGCCUGGGGGGACCAGAAUGGGACCUAAGCAGCCAGUAAUGAGAGGAAGGGGCCAGAAUGAGGGGGAGGCGUGGUUUGAGUGAGCGAUUGACAGGGAGGAGAAACAAAUGGACAAGGAAAGAAAGGAGAAUGUGAAAUAGAGGAUAGAAGCUUGUCUUGGGGAAAGAAGGGACUUAGGAGGAGAGCCAGUGUGCUCACUUACUCCAGCAAGUAGGGGUCCUGGCAGGGAUGGAACACUUGCUGCUGUGGAGCCCAUAAGUGGCUGCCUAGUUCUGGAGGCUGGGAAGUCCAAGACCAAGAUGCUGGCAGGGAAUGAAAUUGGGAAAUGAGAUUGGAGAAUUCACCACGGCUCUCAAAUCAAAAAGAAUUUUUACAUAGGAGUUUCAGAGAAGUUGGAAACACCUGUUAUUUUUCUUGCUGAAAGCAGUUCAAGGCAAAUGCUUUCAGAUUUAUGUUUUCUUUUUACGUUGGAAACUGAAGUCAGAGAGACUUAAACAACUUUAAGUUAAAAAUUUUUUUGUUUUGUUUUUCGCUUUUCACAUCAGGGUUCAGAAACAGGGGGAAAAGGUUGAAACAUGGGAGGAAGGUUGAUUUUUCUUUUCCAUUGCGUGUGGCCAGGCUGCUGAUCUCGUGGGUACUGGCUGAGAGUGCCUGGCCAGACUGGAUGAAAGCUGUGGGGCUGAUGGGGCUGGGGAAGCGUUGUUAACGUAGUCCCAGAGUAAUGAGGCCAGGCCUGGGAGUGACUGAAUUAUAGGGAGGUCUGGUAGGACCAUAUCUUGCUUGCAUAAGGAGUGGCAUCAGCAUUUCAACCUUAAUGGUAACCUCAUGUAGGGAAAAAUUUGAGCUUCAAUAACAUUAUGCGUUAUCUAUAGUACGCCUUUCCCAUUAUCUGAUUCUGAUUCUAUUGGAGCUAUUUUACAACUCAGAGUUAAUGCCAAACACCAGCCCUCCCCCCCCAAAAAAAUAAUUUGACUCCAUUUGCAAAUGCAUUUUUCAAUAUUCCUAAUCUAUAAAUGUGUCUGUUCUUUGGAUUCUCCUUUGGACUGGUUAUAACACCUCGUCAGUUUCCUCAUUAGUGAGUUAAACAAAAUCUUUAAUAUAUAUAUAUUUUGAGCCCAAAUCAAUUAAGAGAAUAGCUCUUUGAUACCAGGACUGAUGAGAUUUGGAGUUUCUGUAUUUACUCUUGAUUCAUGACUGAAAUUACAGAAUUGAAGCUCUCUUCAUCUAUCUCUGAAUGUCUAUGUGUCUGUAGUUUAGAAAGGCCUUAUCUCUCAUUGUGUGAGUGUGUAAUAUUUUCCUACCUCCAGAGGGCGUUUAAUAAAUUUGAUUACAAAGUCUCAUGUUAAAGGAGUUCUUUUCUGAUUGGCUGAUAGAGAUAAAUUAGUGCUUAUAUAAAUUGCGUAUUCUUAAAAUUCCCAGAAGGUAGUGAAAUUAAGUUUCUAAUAUUUUUAAUGUGCUACAUUAAAAAAUAUUCUUACAGAAACCAAUUCAAUAACAUUUUAAGUAGACCUUUGGAAAGUGAGACUAGUUUAAUAUUUGGGAUUUAAUAAAAACAGCUGUAGGGGCCAGGCAUAGUGGUUGAGUUCAUGCACUCUGCUUUGGCUGCCUCAGGAUCACAGGUUCGGAUCCCAGGCACAGGCCUAGCAUGGCUCGUCAAGCCACGCUGUAGCAGCAUCCCACAUACAACACAGAGGAAGAGUGACAUGAAUGUUAGCUCAUCAACAAUCUUCCUCAAGCAAAAAGAGGAAGAUUGGCAACAGAUGUUAGCUCGCCGGGACAAUCUUCCUCACCAAAAACAAAAACAAAAAAAACCUGUAUUUUCUCUGAUUUAUUAGCGUUAAGUAUAAUUCCUAACAAUAUUCUCCUUGGAUACGUUUUUUCUAAACUUACGCAUGUUUACUGAUGAAAUAAGUUAACAUUACUCAUAAUGUUUAAGAUUAUGAAAAACGCAAAUUUGUGGUUAAUUGAAUGAUUAUUCAGAAAAACUUUUUACCUUUUUUAUUUCAACAGCAAUUUUGUUUUGUAGUAUGUCAGCUUGAAAGUAAUUUCCAAGAGCUUUAGGUAACUUAAAACCUUGGACUGAUAUUAAAGUUGAGUUAAUUAAUGGAUAAUCUUUGGAUGACACGAUCAUUCUUAAAACAGAAUACUGAACGUUGAUCACUAAGCAUAAUUUUAAGUUCAUAUGCUUUUGCUUUGUAUAUUUACAUGCUACAAAAAAGCUAUAUCUUUGGGUGUCUUAAUGAAUGUGUUCAUUUUUGCCACUUUGGUAAGUUGUACUAUAAAUGUGUGUGGCUAUGGAAAGUUAUGUUUUAUGUAUUUGAGCCCUGCUGGUCUGUUAAAAAGCUGAUAUGAGACAUAGAGUUCACAGUUAUCCAUUUCCUCACUGCCCCUCAACCUCCACCCCACUCCAGUUUUCUCUGUGAAAUAGAAUUUACUUUGGUUAAAACUUAAUUUAUGUUAAGUUGAAACUGUAUUAAUGAGCAGUAGAGAAAUACAACUUGUGUACAUGCUUGUGUUUUUCAAGAAAAAAGAGUAGUUUUGUCCUAAAGCAAUGCUGCUCAAGGUUUUGUGUAUUUUCUUUGUUUUGUCUCCAAAGCCCCCUUUGCACUCUUCAAAUAUCUUGAGGACCUUAUAGAGUAUUUGUGUGUGUGUGUGUGUGUGUGUGUGUGCGUGUGUGUGCGCGCGCGCGCACGCGCUGGCGGCGGGGGGGGGGGGGGGGGGG